AGUGCCCAAGACUUUUGCACAGUCCAAAUGGUGGGAAGUGGGCUUUGUGAAAUGUUACCUGCAUCAUGUAGGAUUUCAGUCUGUCUAUUAACUCUUCUCUCGGGCCUAAAGACAGAACAGAGCACAGCACACUUUCAGCAUUUACACACUCAAAGCUUAAAAAGAAGAAAACUCCAGCGGAAAUGAAUAUAUUAGAAACGGAAGUGAGUGAAAAAGGGAGGUUUAAGCCUUGAGGGACUGAGUAAACUGUGCUGGAGCUCACCGUUAGCGCUUUUCCACACAAACAUGGCGGACCGCCUCAUUCAUUUACACCAGGCUCAGCGCCAUUAGGAAUAAAACACGGCCUUACACAGGCGCACGCAAUAAAAUACAGAGAGAGACAAAACAUUCUGCAACAAGGCAAGUUAUGAAAUCACACCAAGCUCUAGCCGGUUUUGUUUUUCUAAAGCUAAUGCUAACAUACAGCGCUGCUUGCUGUUAGCUGAGCUAGCUAACCGGCGCACUCACUCGGGGGUUGUUUGUUUGUAGAUGAGCUCGUUUUUCUCACCCAUAACAGGCGCUCCGAUCUCCGUCAGUUUGGCCUGUAACUCGGGGCCGCUCCAUGAGUUCAGGUCCGGGUUCGGCUCUGUGCCCGGGAUUCCAUCAGCCGCCAUCUUUAUUUUCUUAUUUGCACACAACACAUUCACACAGAUCUGGCGCAGAGGAUCAUGGGAACUUCCGCAUACGUCCAGCCAACGCGAACGGGGCGCGCAUGCGCAUACACACAACAGUCCUCCUCAGAAAUGUGAAUGUGUUUGAGCAGAUAGAUUUCCUCAGAGGAUAUUCUGUGUAAAUUAUAGCAAUUCUAUAUAAUUUAGUCAGUAAAUAUACACAUACUGAAGUAUCAGAAACAUAUUUUAAAACAAGUGUUGCCAGGCAAAACGAACCUCACCUGGGAGCACUUACUCAUCAUGAAUAUGAAGUGAUGUGCUUCAGACAUCGCCACUCAUGCUGCUGCAAUAGAGGUGCUCAGGACUUGCAGCUGCCAGGGACUUUCUGCACGUGGACCGAGUUUUUCUUCUUCCUCCUGCUCGCUGUGUGUGGAAGGUUUGAAUGGACUGUUACUACCAUCUUUCUGAGUUUCCAAGGGACUGUGAGUACUAACUCUUCUCCAGCUGAGGGUUACAUAUGAGCUCCAACAGCGCGCCGACGAACAUGGUACCAUAGACUGAGUUAGAAAAUCCCAGCCCCCCGUCCCUGUGUAAGACGUGUUUGUGGAACCCAUCCUCCUCUCCCCACGUCUUCUCACAAGCAGUAGCCGGUGCGAGCGGGAGCGAGCCGUCAUACAAAAUGCAAAGAGGAGCAACAAAAGACCAACCAACAGCUUUAACUUGUUGGUGCAACAAAAAGAGAAAAGCCUCUUCCCAACAGGAGCAGAAUAACCGUGUCCAUCAUAUAAACAGUUCCUGGAGUACAGAAGCUCAAAGACAGAAGAACGACAGUCCUGUAACUGUGGGCUGAAAGGAAGAUAUCGGCCAAAACAAGGAAGGAAACGUGUCCAGAUAAACAUAAAAUUGAUGGUGCCACAUGGAACUGAUUUAAAAGCUCUAAGAAGGAAAACACUCCCGUUAUUUACAGACCCGGAGGUAGCGGCACCUGAUCUACUGAAACAAGCUGUCCAGAAAAUGCGAAAUUUCAACAAGGACAUGCGUGAUGGAUUAUAUAUUCUUUUCUCUAGACUGCUCAGAGGUGAUCCAUGUGCCUGGGUCAGAAAGGCCAUUCAAACUGCCAGAAUAUAAAAAGUAAAUAGGAAAAGCAUAUUCCAGGAUUACUUUUUCAUUUGCAUAGAAAGACACUUUAAAGGAGUGGAUGAUACGUCAGACUCUGAUUCUGAGAUUGUCAUCACAUCAAGGAGCACAGGUUUUUGAACCACAAAACCAAAGUACUCCCCAACACAAACCUGAUGAUGAAAGAUAGUAAGAUCUGAUACUGAGGAUCUGGAUCCACCUGAAACAAAUCCAGACAAGACUUCUUGCUACAGGGAAGUAAAAAAAAAUGAUAAGAACUCACUUUUAAUUCAUGGAUUCCAUGGGAAAGAAAUUAGUGUUUGUAAGAUGUUUUAACAUGAAAAUGGUAAUUUCCCAACAGUAAAUACACAGACCUGUACGCACCAGAUGUUGAGGAAGAGGAGCUGGCUGCAGUCAGUGUGAAAACAUUUACAAAAAACACACAGCAAUGUAAAGUAACAGCUAUUAACUGUAGCAUUGCAGUUUUUCACUGUACAAUGUACACCACUGUCCAGCUGUGGGUGACAGAUUCAGACACUUAGACAGCAAUGUUUCACUCCAAAUCAGAUGACGGGGCUCACCACGGUCUGGUUUCAUAGUUUGUCAAGAUGCAUUUUCACUUUUCCCUGUGAUGUUUCCAACUGAUUCGGAUACCUCUUCAAAUGUUACAUUAAUAAACAACAAAAAUUCAGAUAUCGCCUUUUAAUUAUUUCUGUGAUAGACUGGUCAUGAGAUUUUCUCAAUCCAUUUUAAAACAACAAAAGUGCAUUUUCAAAUGUACAUGAUUCUCAGGCUAGAAAAUUUUACUUAUAGAGCAUCAAAUUACAACAUGGUCAUCUCUUGGCAUACAUUAAAAAAAAAAUGCAGGAAGAAAACCCAACAACAUAACCAUCAGCGUGCCACAUGUAGUUCGGUUCCACAGAGUGGUAGGUUCUUCUUAUAAGAACCUUCUGUGUGCUCUCCUCUCACACCCUCGAGGAUUAAGGUCCCAGAGCAAAUUCAUCACAUCAUCUCUCUUCACUCGAAGAUUGUACUUUUGCUCGAGUACCUGCCACAUCAUGCGGCAGCUAAACAGUUGUCCAGGUCCACAAAGUUCCAAUCUGAUGGCGUUAAUUAUCGCGUUUGCAGAGGAAUAAUCCUUUCUGCGGUACAAACCGGCUUCCUUUACUACUUUUAAAAGUCCUCAAGCUGAUGUUCACACUGUGUGAACUUGACAUCAUACCCAUGAUUACAUCAUACGAGUGGCCCUCAUUCAAAUAUUGUACAUCAUGGCAAGGCAUAUCUGGUCCUUCUGUCUGGUCCGUGUCCUUUUAAAACCUCUAGAGACCGUCCACACGAAAAGCAAAGCAGUGUUAAGUGGUUCGUGUGUUUUUCCACAAAAGGGGCAAAACAUCAUUCAGUCAUAGCUGAAGUUCUUUCAACAUAAACUCCAUAGAAGACGACACGACUUGACCGCUCACUCCAUCACUUCCCGGCCACCGUACUUCCGGGUCGCUUGUGGUAUUUGGUACAUUCCCCUUCCGUUAAGAUUUUUGUUUGUAAAUUUGUUUCGGGACUCGUAAAAGUGUUCUGCCACUUGUAGAUUUGUCUCAGCGCUCGUAAAAGUGUUUCGCAUCUUGUCAGUUUGUUUUCUAAGAUGUAAAUUUGUUUUGUCCUUGGUAAAAGUGUUUUGGCAAUGUAAUUUUGUUUUAAUAAAUGUAAAAGUGUUUUACAGUUUGUAAUUUUGUUUUGCAC